rnacentral:tRNA from 1 species
AGCCCUCGAACACCUCCGUGUUCGUCUCUAGAUUUGCACU